rnacentral:rRNA from 1 species
UACGUAGGGUGCGAGCGUUGUCCGGAAUUAUUGGGCGUAAAGAGCUUGUAGGUGGUUUGUCGCGUCUGCUGUGAAAAUCCGAGGCUCAACCUCGGACUUGCAGUGGGUACGGGCAGACUAGAGUGUGGUAGGGGAGACUGGAAUUCCUGGUGUAGCGGUGGAAUGCGCAGAUAUCGAGAGGAACACCUGCGGCGAAGGCGGGUUGCUGGGCUGACACUGACGCUGAGGCGCGAAAGCCAGGGGAGCAAACGGG